rnacentral:rRNA from 1 species
GUCAGCAGCCAUAUCACCCUGCAACUUACAACUGGCAGCCCACUGAAGCUAAGCAGCUGUAAGCCUGGUCAGUACCUGCAUGGGAGACCUCCUGGGAAAAACUAAGGUUGCUGCUGGAA